CAUCCAUGUUUACUACUACUUGAUCUCUGUUUUUGGAGUUUUUCGAGUAUUUUGCGAUGCAUGGGAGAGAAAAUUGUGACCAGGUUUCUUCAAAUUUCCCAAUUUCGGACUUGAAGUUACAAUGUCAUUGUACAAUA
rnacentral:snoRNA from 16 species